rnacentral:lncRNA from 1 species
CUUCAUGGUUAUUGGCAAUGUAAAUUAUUUCAUUUUUAUUAAAAAUUUUUUUUUAAUCUUUAUUUUUGAGAGAGAGAUCGAGUGUGAAUGUGGGAGGGGCAGAGAGAGGGAGACACAGAAUCUGAAGCAGGCUCCAGACUGAGCUGUCAGCUCAGAACCCAACACGGGGCGGGGGGUUGGGGGGGGGGGGCUCAGGAGCUGCGAGAUCAUGACCGGAGCCGAAGUCUGACGUUUAACCGACUGAGCCACCCAGUCGCCCCAAAAAUGUAAAGCUUCUAAAAGGAAAAAAACGAACCGAUGCAAUUAAACUAUCAAGUAUAUAGACCACAUUUACAGGGAGGUGGAUGUUCCAAAGAGAUAGACUGGUCUACUCAAUGGUCAGAACAGCUGAGGUGCUGAGCAUCUGUUGGAAAAAGCUGUGCCAAGAGACUAAAACCAUUCAUCACACUAUCCAAACCAGAAAUCCUGGAAUGAUUUGGCUCACCUAUGCUGUUUCAAUGCUUCUCUCUACAGUGGCAUAUUCAAAUGAUCUCAACAGAUUCACAGGACUUUCCAUUAGUGUCCACCUCAGCCAUGUGGAUGAUCCAUCAAUUCUAUUUUCUAAUGAUGUACAUGCAAUGACAUUCAUUUCUAUGGAGAAGAUUGACAUCAUUCCAAAUGAAUAUGUGAGAUGCCCCAGACCCUUAGAAGACUGAGAGGGAAAUGAAUGAGUCCUCCUGUUCCUGGAGGCCAGAAGAGUUUUGUGAAACUGCAGAGUGAAGAAGCUUGUUCCAGUGCUUUGGCAAGGAACAGGUAACCUGUGCCUCUAGACUGGAUGCCAAAGCUCUUCUGCUUUUCUUCCCAAUGAGAUUCUAACCAUUUAGGAAACUCCAACCUGUAGUUCCGAGAUCAUGACAUAGCAAGAAACAAAAACAACCUAUCUUCUGUUUCCCAGCAGCUAGAGAGAAGAUGAUCAGGCAGAAUAAUCAGGACACAUUUACAGCAAGUUAGCACAGCUGGUCGGGACAGAUGAAAAUACGAAAGAAUAAAAUUAAUAUUCAGAG